ACCCAAAGCAGUCCUUCACUACAGUGGCAGACAGACCUGAAAAUUUUCAUCUGAAGCAGCAGAGUGAACUGCAGAGUCAGGUCACCAACCAGUGUGGAGGCUAACAGCAGGCCUCUUUGGGGAUUCCAGGUGGAAGUGUUGGACAUCUGUAGUAUUCCUGGUCUCGAAUCAUCCUGAUAUUCUUCAUUUUGUUAUUCACAUUGGACUAGGGCAAGGAAAUGAGUUCUGGUCAGAGUCAAUGUUUCCCAACAAUGUUGAUUUAUUUGGUCCUAAAUAUUUAAACACAUUUUAUAAAUAGCUUUUCCACACCACAUAUAUAGGGAAAAACAGGGAGUUAACUUGGCCCAGCAGCACUGUUUGUGGGGCUAACGCCCUGUCUGUGUAUCUCACACCAACCCUAAGCUUUGUUUCCCUCCUGUCACUUUGCUCCUAUUUCUUUCAUAUGAAAGAAUGUUCAUUUUCUUUGAAAAUGAGCUCAUCUCCUCAUUUUCUUUCCAUAUUUCAGCAGGAACAAAGAUCACCACAACUGGCUCCCCUUCAACUGUGUUAGAUGGCAGCUUGCCUUCAGUACGGUGAAACACAUUAGUUAAGACUGGGAUUGUGCAUGGCAGGACUUUCUACAAGGACACCCAGUCUCCUUAAUAAACAAGAGAUGCUCUCUUUCCAGAA
rnacentral:lncRNA from 1 species